CAGCAGCCGCGGGAAUGCGAAGGGUGCAAGCGUUACUCGGAAUUACUGGGCGUAAAGUGUGCGUAGGUGGUGGUUUAAGUCCGUUGUGAAAGCCCUGGGCUCAACCUGGGAAUUGCAGUGGAUACUGGGUCACUAGAGUGUGGUAGAGGAUAGUGGAAUUUCCGGUGUAGCAGUGAAAUGCGUAGAGAUCGGAAGGAACAUCUGUGGCGAAGGCGACUAUCUGGGCCAACACUGACACUGAGGCACGAAAGCGUGGGGAGCAAACAGGAUUAGAUACCCCAGUAGUCCCUGUCUCUUAUAC
rnacentral:rRNA from 1 species